GGCUAUUAUGGACCACUCCAAACUGCAUGGGUUGCUCAAAACUCUCCUGGAUUUGCUUUCUUUGAAUUUGAGGAUUCCUGAGAUGCUGCUGAUGCUGUCCGAAGCUAAAUGGAAGAAUACUAUGUGACUGCUGCAUAAGAUUGGAACUGUCGAAUAUUGAAAAGUGAAGUUGGAAUCAUGGCCUGCCUCCCUCUUGGGGUCAUUGUCCUCGAGAUGAUUACUGCAGGAGGAGACCUCCAUCUCAGCACAGAUCCCCAAGAAGGAGAAGCUUUUCCCAAAGCCAGAGCAGGUCACUUUCUAUAUAUAGGAGAAGGGAAAGGAGAUAAGCUGUCUCGAUCCUUCUCUAGGUCUCAUAGCCGAUCUAGGUCAAAUGAAAGGAAAUAGAAGACCAGUUUGCAAAAGUGGUGUACAGGAAAUAACUUCAUUUGACAGGAGUAUGUACAGGAAAUUAAAGUUUUGUAUGAGACUUCAUAA
rnacentral:lncRNA from 1 species